UGAAGAAGGCCUUCGGGUUGUAAAGCUCUUUUGUCAGGGAAGAAACGGUGGGAGCUAAUAUCUCCUGCUAAUGACGGUACCUGAAGAAUAAGCACCGGCUAACUACGUGCCAGCAGCCGCGGUAAUACGUAGGGUGCAAGCGUUAAUCGGAAUUACUGGGCGUAAAGCGUGCGCAGGCGGUUAUGUAAGACAGUUGUGAAAUCCCCGGGCUCAACCUGGGAACUGCAUUCGAAACUGGCAGGCUAGAGUC
rnacentral:rRNA from 1 species